rnacentral:lncRNA from 1 species
UUAUUUUAUUUAAGUGUUGAGUUCAGUCCUUUCAGUUCAGUUAAGUUAAAUUCUGUCCAUGAAAUUCAAUUUACUUCGUCUUAUACAUUAAUUAUUAUAUGUCUAAACUGAUUCACUUUUUAGGUUCAUUUUACUGAUAUUGAAUUAUUGACAAGAAACUAACCGAAAAUAUAGUUCACAAUUAAGGAAAUUACAGAUUCAUCAGGAAAACUAAAACAUCCAUUCGAUCUGAUCAUUUAUAAAUUAAAUACACCAAUACAGAACAGUGACAAACUUCCAUAUAUAAAAUUUUCAAAACGAUCCCGAAAACAUAAAAAGAUUAAACAGAUAAAUUUUUACAUAAGACAGAAUGAAGGCAGGAAGAACACCUAGGCACCACCUUCGUCCUCGGAGUUGAGCAAAGUUGGAUCCAGUUGAGCAGCAGACAGUUUCUCUUUACCUCGCUCUNNNNNNNNNNNNNNNNNNNNNNNNNNNNNNNNNNNNNNNNNNNNNNNNNNNNNNNNNNNNNNNNNNNNNNNNNNNNNNNNNNNNNNNNNNNNNNNNNNNNGUCAGAAGAGGACCCCUUCCCCCAAGCUCCUUUAUUUUGAGGCGAAGCUUGUGGCGUUUGUUCUUAUGCCUCCGUCCUUCAUCUUGGGCCUUCGAUUGAGCCUCGCCAAGUUGAAUAGCCAGGCUUCGGUUGGCCGAAGAAAACUCCUCAUUCUUGGCUUUUAGGAGCAGGUUUUCUUCGACCAAGCCGGCGUUCAUAUCGGUUAGAGUUUGUUGGCUGGCUUCGGAUGCGGCCAGCCCAUCCCUUGUGGCCUUUAUUUCAUCAUCGGACGUCUUCAGGUCCAUCCUGGCUCGAUCUAAGUCUCGCUGGAGGCCAUUGAUGGUGUGAAGAGCGUCUUCAUGGUCGUUUCUUUCUCGAGCCAAGGUCGAUUUCAGCAUGUUGAUUUCUUGCCUCAUGAAAUCUUCCUCGGCUUCUCCAUUUAUGUGUCUUGGACGCAAACGUCCGAAGACAGCAUUGGCCUGCAUAUGACCAAACAGUACGCAAGUCAGUACCCAGAUAUCCAAUUAAGAACAGAAAAACAGAAAAAUAAAGCAAUGGCUAUUUACCUUAGCUAGAUAGCUCAUUCCUUCAUCGAGCAGAUUCCCAUCCGUGUGAUCACUGAACCGAUGAUCGUCAGCGUUCCUCACAAAGGCCCCGAAGAGGUCGAAGGGAAAAUUAGCAUUAAAUCUAGGCCACAGAGUCGGAGACCCCAUGGCCUCGGCAUGAUAACCCUGACCUGAAGGACCGGGUCGUUCAGGCGAGGGUCUCGACCUUUCCGGGGAAGGAACUGGUUGCUCAGGAGGAGUAGGUUCAGGUUCAGCAUACACGGUUUCGGGAGAUGGAGAUUUGUUCGGGCUGGGUUCCUGGAAAGGAGCUGCAGAUGCAGAGCUCGGAUGGCUGUCGGGAGUGCGUUUCCUCUUCUUGGACAGGGUUUGGAUAGCUUCAUCCUGAUCACCCUCUUCGGCAAUCUGUAUUUCUACAGGCGGUAUGAAGGGAGGGAUGAUCGAAGACUGGGGCACCCUAAGCUCUUCGGCGGUCAGAGGAGUUAUUUUACUUUUCAGUUUUUUGGUGCGGAUGAUGCUUCUUCGAUCAGGACGAUCGAGUAGACCUCCUCGGCGUGGGACGGAUGUGGUGGUUGGCUCAACUUCAGGCGUGGUUUCAGAAAGGGUUGGAAAGGGUGUUGAUCUUGGCUUUCUGAUUGCCCUCCUCUUCUGACGAGGACGGAGGGUCUCGUCCGGAACUGGAACCUCAUCAGCUUCUGGUUCGUCAAUUCUGAACUCGUCUGUAUGUGUUUCCGGGAUUGGUUCGGCUUCGGGAGCAGCUUCUGUUGCCAGAGUUUCCACCACUUUCGAAGACUUCCCGGAUAAAAAAUCUUCGAACUCUUUUAUCUCCAAAGAGCUCGGUUUGAUCAAAGAUACUGCAUAACCAACUAACUUUGUGUUAGAAUCCAUCUUAUAAAAGCGUUUUCAAAAAAUUCGUAUACAUAUAAAAUAGACCGAUACUUACAUUUAUGGUCAUACAACCAUGCUUGUUUCGAUAGGAGUCCAUACUUCCAGUCCUCCUUCGGGAAAUUGUCAAAAUGUUCCAUCAUUUCCACUUCUCUUUCUUCAGAAAUAUCUCCAAAGUCAACAGAGAUCUUCUCAUCAGUGGCCCAGUUCGGUAAGGAAGAAAUUUCGGGGCCCUUGACGUAGAACAACUUUUCAUGCCAGCCCCUAUUGCUCAAAGGCGUGUUCACCAGCGAACGCCUCUCGAACUUCUCUCCUGACUUCGGAGAGUGCUUACUAAUGGCCUUGAACCCCUUCUCCCUAGAUUGUACUAUCUUGUAUACGGUGAAGAAGAAAUCCAAGGAGGGAUCCACACCCAAUUCAUGACAGAAGGCCACGAAGGCCAAGAUGUGGAUUUAUGAAUUUGGUACCAGUUGGGCGAACCCCACCCCCAGGAACCCCAGCAAGGUUACUAUGAAAAUAUGCAAAGGGAAACGAACCCCCUUCUCUAACAGAGUCACAGGGACGGCCGUCCAACUCUCUGGCCGUUGAUACAUCUUCUCACCGGAUCUGGGAGCCCUAAUCGCGUGGGUAUCCGGAAUGUGGUACCGGGAUCGAAUCCUCUGUAACUCAGCCUCAGUCACGAUAGAGGGAGUAUUGGCAUGCGAGAAUCGCUUAGUGCUCCUGUUGUACUCAGAGGGGGUUUUGGGAGUUUUUGGGAGAGGAUUCUUGUCGGUUUUUGACCCCUUUGGAUUCGAGGCCGAAGUUUCUUCAUGAGCGGUAGGGUUUGGCGGAACGACAGUGAUCGGUGUUACUAGUAUGGGAGAACCUUGUUCAGAAUUUUGGGAAGCCAUUGUUGACAAGUUGCAGAAGAAAAGAGAAAGUUCAGAAAGUUAGAGAGUUCAAAAGACGCUCGAAUUUCAAAUGGGCAGGUAAAACUGUCAAAAUUGGUAAAGUUACCUUUUAUACUAACGGUUACACGGUGUUCAAGGCCGGCUCAUUAAAUGUUAGUAAUGAUUUGGAAUUUGAAUGGGAAGGGUCCGGUUCCGGGUCCAUGUAUUUAUUAAAUAGGGCUUUUCUGAUUUGGGCCUCCGUUCUCUUCUCCUUUCAUUUCGUGAACAACAACUGGGUACACUUCAAUUAUCUCUCACUAUGGACCUUUAGUAAAUUAUCUUGGGCCAUUCAUAGUUUUCUACUAAACAUUUUGUUUAACAAAAAACUAGGGGGCAAUGUUGGGUCGUGAUAUUUCCUAUCUUUGGGCCGGGUACAUUGGGCCUUUAUUAUUAAUCCGUGAAAGUCAUCGGGCCCAGUCCUCAUACUAUAUCCAUUUUAACCUUUAAGACCGGAUCGGUCCAAUGGGUCGACUCGUUAAAUAUUUUAAUAUCUGUUACUUUGACUUGUGAUGAUGAAAAAGCAUGACGGUUGACCAAAGUUCCUGCCAUGCAUUAAUGUGGAUGGGAUCAUAGCCGGCCGGCGGUAGAAAACAGUGGCCAAAAGCAGUGGAUAAACUAUAUACAGUCGGCAGAUCCCAUCAGAUCAGAGGGGUGUGUCAGGUAGUAGUGGGUGGCACAGUAAUCCAGGCGGAGAUAGUAUAACCUAGCAAGGAAGCCUUCAUGAAUAGGUACGUUCUCAUAUACUUUAAGAUUCAUUUUCUCUAACAUACACAAAAAAAUAAUUAUUAUCUCUCUCUAGACACUAGACAGUACAUUCCUCCACUGUUAACCUUGUGAACACAUACUAAUUCUCACGCCUGAGCUAUCCCCCGACGGAACCGCCGUCAAGCUUGUGGUGUUUACUGUGUUUACUGUGCAGGAUCAGGACAUCUUACGUGAUUGGAACGUGGCAGAAGAUCUUGGCGUUAACAAAUAGAAAAGUGAAGAAAAUAAUGUUGUUUUACUAAGAUAAUAUUACAUUGAUUGAAGCACGUAUUAAAAAAAAAUUGUUGCCUUGUAAUAUUAUUUUUUGACAAAGCCCUAUAAUAAAAAUAAAAAAGAAUUAGAAUCGAAUUACAAAAAUAUUAGUGCAGUGCAGAUAUAAAUUUAAACAAAGUUGGUAUAGGAGGCUCUAACUUUUGAAAAAGAUGGGCUAGUUUUGUGAAUCUUUGCAAGUAUGGGAAGCAAUUAAUAUUUGUAUUUGAAUACUAGCUAGGAACUCAACAAAAUAAAGGCCACUCCAUUCCUAUCACCUCAAAAAAAUAAAUGAAUCCCCUACUCCUAGUCCUAGAGACGGUGAAGACAAAAAAGAGGUCAUUAUUAUGUCCGCUAAAAAAUGUAAAUGAAGGAUUAAAAAUAAGACUGAAAAGAGUAGUCUCCCUCAAAUUUAGUCAAAUAUCCAGUGGUGGAUUAAAUAAAAUAUUCAUUAUUGUAAUCAUAUACAAAUGCAAGGGACUAGCUACCAUUGACCUCCAAUCUGUAUCUAACCGUGUGUGUGUUUAUAUAUAUAUAAUCAUUACAUAAGGGAAGGGAAGGGAAGGGAAGGGAAGGGAAUGUAGUGUUGUGUUGUGUUGUGCUCCUUCAUUUCAACUAACGGCCUUUUGAAGGGAAACCCCCAAUUUAUAGUGGAGUUGCUCCAUUAAAAGUGAAAAAAGGUUAGUUUCUGUGUAUACAUACCCUUUUGCCUCUUUGUGCGGCAACUGCAAUAAUUUCUGCAUUUCAUAUUCUACAGCUUUGAAUAUUGAGAUUUUGUUCUGCAUCUUAUGCCGUUCUUGUUAUAUGUUACUCCCUCCCUUCCUAAAUUUUUUUUUCCAAUUUAUUUGUAGUUGUUAAAUGAUAGUAGUAUUUUUUUAAUUUAAACAAUUUGUCUUUCCCAAAAGAUUUGUUUGAAGAAUGAGACGUGACUCAACGCUACAGCUAUAAGCAAAUUAAGCUACACAUAUCUACUCCUUCCUUGGAAAAAUAAUAAUCAUACUUUGUGAUUUUCAUGGAAAUGUUAGGCUUUAGAUUAAUCCAUUUCUCGCUCAAAAUCUUUUCCCCCAAUUUAAAAGGGAUGAGUUUGCUAGUUUGGAAUUUUGUUGAACCAUAGGUGAUGAUGCUAUUCAAUGCCCAAAUUCACAUUUGACAAUCAUGGUCAUGACUUUUGUAUUUCUACUACCCCACGUGGAAAAUUAGACAUAUGAUGAAACUUAUAAUAUGAACACUAAAACUUGUUCUUGGUUUACUCUUCAGUCCAAUCACUACACUGAAAGUCCAAAAUUGAUGCUAUCAUUCCUAGAGAUGGUUUAUUACUUGGACACCAUCAUAUCAUUUCAAUUCUUUAAUCAAAGGAAUGCUAGCUAGUCAAUUACACCUGCCCUUUGCAGAUGGAUGAAAUGACAGGCCACUCGCCUCAAAAUAUCUCUUUUCUUUUUCUUUCGCAAAGACAAAAGGUUGCAAGUAAUUUCUUGAAUACUAGUUUGUUUUCCUACUUUUUUCAUAUUCAAUACUAUGAUUUCUGAUAUAUCAAAAACCAAAAGUAGGUGAAAGAUCUGAAGAGAUAUUAUUUGAGAUUUUUUUUUAAUCACGGGGUGGAAUUAAAUGGUCAUGCUCUUUCAUUUUAACAUGUUGGUUGUCAUAUUCAUCCUUCUCUCCCCACAUGCUUUUGUUUGACAAACAGCUGUCUCUGUUCUAUCUUUUUCUCAGAGAUUCUCUCUCUUCAUUGAAUCUUCCUUCCUUAUAUGUAUAAUAGUUCAAAUAAAUAUCCAGAGACCAUAAAAAGAAGAUCAUAAUUCAGUUUUAUACGGUCUGAAUUCCAGUCCCGAAUUUGAGCCUGUAUUUAAGGGUGUAGAAUAUCAUGCUGCGUCUCUCUGCAUCUGAUCCUUUCAUGAGGUUAAUUGUUAUUUAUUAAGCAGCAUAACCUCAGCCUUUGAAUUUAGUUUUGUCAGUUUCCAAGAAUUUCAAUUUUAUUAGCACUGUAAUUCACUUCCACCUUUCCUUUUUCAUUUCUUUACCUUUCCGUUUUAUUUUUUUUUUCCGACAUCCCCCCUAAAGGUUUUUCUCCAUGCAUAUGGAUUCUAGUGAAAAAAAGGGAACUAUACAUAGUGAAGUUGUUAUAGUGACAUUAUUGAUAGAUGUAGUACUGUUGUUUGUGAACCAUCUUCCUUCAAAAUUCUAACGAUUCCCACGUAUGAUUUUGAAUCUAAACCUUGACAAAACAGUGUUUUUAAGAUGAAAGUCUACAGAAUCACUAUACUAAUAUACUCUCAAGCAUUGUACACUAAAUUCUGUUUGUAGUUUGUAUACCUUUAAGAUGUCUCUGUCUUUAUUACCAGAAGAUAGAGGAUAGACGAGCCAAUUGUACACUCAAAUAUAUAUGCACAGAGCAUAUGAUCAGCAUAUUUUUCUCCUCCUUGAUUAGUUUGUGAAUUUUACCGUGUCUUAUACCAUAUGAAUGUAUUUUUGUUGCAGUAUUUAAACAUUUUUUAGAUCUUGUAUCGAAUAAUUUCCUAGGAGAAGACAAUUUAUUGUCAAGUAUGGCAGAAGCUAUGGCAGAAGAGGAUAUCUAUACUAAAGAUGGGACUGUGGAUUACAAAAACAAUCCUGCUAAUAAAAAGAAAACAGGAACCUGGAAGGCCUGCCCUUAUAUCCUUGGUACUUUUGCUGCUACACUUGCUGAGAGCGCGAUUUGUUUAAGGUAUAAGAUACUGACUCUUAUAAUAACUAUUUCCAGGAAAUGAAUGUUGCGAGAGAUUGGCAUACUAUGGGAUGGGCUCUAAUCUGUUGCUAUAUUUCAAGUAUCACCUCAACCAGCACAGCACAACGGCUUCAAGAAAUCUCUCGAAUUGGUCUGGAACAUGCUACAUCACACCUCUGAUCGGAGCAUUUGCUGCUGAUGCCUAUCUUGGAAGAUAUUGGACUAUUGCCAUCUUCUCAAUCAUCUAUGUUAUUGUGAGUUCAAUUCAUAGAAUUUUAAUGUUAUCUUGCUUUUCUGUUCAAACAUUAAAAAUAUAAAAACUCACGUUAUAUGUCAUAGUAAAAUUACUUUAGUCCAUCGUAUGUAAAUGUAUGAAGCUUUGACAUUUAAUAAUGAGAAGCUUUUAUUUAUUUAGGGGAUGACACUGUUAACAUUAUCGGCAACCAUCCCUGGCCUAAAGCCUACCUGUAUUUCAAAAAAUGACUGCCAUGCAACAGAUACUCAACGUGCAGUUUGCUUCACAGCGCUUUACCUAGUUGCGCUGGGAACCGGAGGGAUUAAGCCUUGUGUCUCAUCCUAUGGAGCAGAUCAGUUUGAUGAUGCCGAUGAGGUUGAGAAGAAGUACAAGAGUUCUUUUUUCAAUUGGUUCUAUUUCUCAAUAAAUAUCGGUGCACUCAUUGCUUCUUCCGUGCUAGUCUAUAUACAAGAUAAUGUUGGUUGGGGUUUGGGUUUUGGCAUUCCUGCUGUGGCCAUGGCUAUUGCUGUAGUUUCUUUCUUUUCAGGAACUCGGUUGUAUCGAAACCAGAAACCUGCAGGCAGCCCUCUGACUCGCCUCUGCCAAGUGGUGGUAGCUUCUACAAGAAAAUAUCGUAUUCAGGUGCCAGAUGACCAGUCUCUUUUAUACGAGACUUCAGAUCAAGAGUCUGCUAUUGUAGGUAGCCGCAAGCUUGAUCAUACUAAAGAUUUUCGGUAAGCUUCCGAGCCUAAUAGAAUUUCUCGAGAAAGUGUACUAAUAUCAUAUUUGUGGGGAAAUGUAGUACCAAGUCAUUGAUGAGAAAUGGAACUAAAUUUGCCCUUUUCAGAUUCUUUGACAAGGCGGCUGUGGAGACACAGUCGGAUCAUAUAAAGGGCCCAACUGAUCCAUGGGGACUUUGUACUGUUACUCAAGUUGAAGAGCUUAAGUCCAUCAUCAGAUUGCUGCCUGUAUGGGCUACUGGUAUCAUAUUCAGUACUGUCUACGGCCAAAUGGGUAAUUUAUUCGUGCUGCAAGGCUCCUUCAUGGAUAUUCACGUGGGAAACUCUAACUUCAAGAUCCCACCAGCAUCACUCAGCAUUUUCGACACCCUUAGUGUCCUUUUCUGGGUUCCAGUCUAUGAUCAAAUCAUCGUUCCAGUCGCCAGAAAAUUUACAGGCCACAAAAAUGGCCUAACUCAACUGCAAAGAAUGGGCACUGGACUCUUCAUAUCAAUUUUCGCAAUGUUAGCUGCAGGGAUUUUAGAGGUUGUUAGGCUUGGAAUUGUAAGAAGGCACAAUUACUAUGAGCUCGAUAACAUGCCCAUGACAAUAUUUUGGCAGGUUCCUCAGUAUUUUAUCAUAGGUUGCGCGGAAGUUUUCACAUUUAUAGGACAAUUGGAGUUCUUUUACGAACAAGCGCCUGAUUCAAUGAGAAGCUUGUGCUCUGCCCUCUCUCUCACCACGGUUGCACUUGGAAGCUAUUUGAGCUCUUUGCUAGUUACCAUUGUCACGAAAAUUAGUACAAGGGAUGGAAAGCUCGGAUGGAUACCGGACAAAUUGAACUAUGGUCAUCUCCAUUACUUCUUCUGGCUUUUGAGUGUGCUGAGUGUGUUAAAUUUAGCUGCUUUUCUCUUGGUAUCUAGGUGGUAUACAUACAAAAAGGCGGUUGGUACUCUCCGUUAAAUGGUAUAAGGAGUUAAGGACUACCAUGUGUUAAGCAGGUUUGUUCUGCAUUUCAACUUUCUUGUAAUUUCGAUAUGAUUUACGUGUAAAUACAAUCUGUAUGAAAACUAUUUUCAUCAUUGUGUACUUGAAACUAGAAAGAAAAUGUACUUUUAUGUACUUUUUUGGGUUUAAUUUGAAUGUUUUGUCAUUUAUAAUGUAAAGACAAUCAAGGAAGGAAAUGAAGGUAAUUAAAUGCAACAAUGAACUCUUGGAAUUUUGUUAUUGUAUUGAAUUGCCUGAUUUACUUUUAUCUCAGUCUUUAAAUGUUGUUCCAAUUGUGAGAACAUUUUCAUACAUGGGAAAGAGACAUUGUGUUGGAACUUGUGAUUCAUAACAUAUAAGUUAUUGAAAAGACUAGUGCUGAGCGUAGCGGAGCCCCGAACGGAGCGGAGUGAAGCGAAGCGAAGCGACGCACUAACGUUGAAUCGAAGGUUGCGGGACUCCACCCCAGCGGUACAGAGUUUAUGCAUGUAUGGCGCGGGGCGCGCUGGUGCAAGACUGGGAGUGGCACGGGGCACGCCAGGAUCGAUGCAGAUUCUGCCUGUGUGGCGCGCCAAUGACAGCUUGGAAGCGGCGCAGGGCGCGCCGAUCGGCGGGCUGAAAUUUAAUGGUUUGUUUUUUAGAAGGACAUCAUGGGUAUUUGAGUCAUAAUGUGAAGUAGGGUUGUAUUAAGAUUAGUGAUUAUAUAUACUAUCUAUUGUAAAAUUUUAUGUAACAAGAAAUCAUCAAUAAAACAACAAGCCGCAUGUAGAUUAUCCAAAUUGAAAAAUCACAUAAAAUUCUGUGUUAAUUAUCUAUUAUCGUGUGCGUGUGUAGUCCUAAUUCUAAGACAUUGCAAAACAGGGAGUCAAACCACACUAUACUAAAGUAAAUUAUGGUAUGGGACUUGAUAAUGAGGUGAGCAAUGCUCAACUAGUUUAAAGAAAUAAGCUUAAAUUAAAGUACAAGCUUGGUUAAAGACACAAAAUGAUUGAUCUUUUCUGUUUAUGGUUUAUUUGGUUAAAUUCGUUUUUCAUAGUGUGCAUGGUCAAGUCUCUUCCCCAAUAUAACAUUACAAAUUUUUUAAGAGACACUGAAAUUGUCAGCCGCCGAUCAUAAAUUAGCCCAUAUACUUUAAAUGAACCAUGUAAAUUUUGUUAAGUUGGUAAUCUCUAAUAUACAUUUUCAUAUCAAAGACUCUAAUUUUUCUCCCGACUCAUGUUCCUCCCUAGACCCAUUGAAUUGAAACCUAUUAGUGUAGAUUGUUGAAGAAAAAAAAAAUGUCGACACUUGAUGAAAAAUAAUUUCUUUGUAAAAAUAACAAUUUGUCAUUUUAAUUUGACUAUUCCACAAAAAGAAUUUUGAUUUUUUAAACUAUUUAAAUUCAAUUCACAAAAAAUUAAAAUUAUAUAAUUACAAUAUAAAUUUUGAAAACAACGAAUUAUAUAAUUAACACCUUUUACAUAACUAAAAUACAUAUUUAUAUUUUUGAAUUUAAGACUUUUUUUAUGAAUAAACAUUCAAAAAAUGGUAAUCAGACUCAUUUUGUGAAGUAGAAGUCGCUUUAAAAAUCAAUAAAUAGCAUUUACUUUUCCAUCGUCGUACAUCCGUUUUCUUCUGUGCAGUUCCCUGAGCGAAGCUCCUCAAUGGUUCGCAAAAGUCUUCGAGAUGCCAAAACAGGUACAUACCAAACUUUGAGAGUCGGACCCAGAUUAAUUUAGGAUUUAUGGUGUUUGAUUCAGUGUUUGCCUAACUUACAACUCGUUUAAAGAUUUGAAUUCCGGAACCCCAACUCCAUUUAUGGUUGUAAAUGUAAUGAGAAAUCUCAUAAUCAGAUCCAUUACAUACAAUUUGAAACAUAUAAUAACCUUGAUUUCAUCACCUUAUUUCUCAUAAUUGUGUGGUUGAAAGAUUAUGAGUAUAAUUGUUGAACUAGUGGUUGUUAGUUUGUUUCAUAAAUUUUAUGCCUGCGAACUGCUCGACGAAAUUCCUGAACCACACACAAACAUGUAAUAUUGCAAGUGUCUUCUAGGGCUACUAUUGGCUAAAUCGUUCAAUGCCGAGAAAUACCUGAAGAAGAUAGGUCUAGGCAAGGAGGAUCACCACUUCUGGAAGCAAGUAGGCAAGGGAUUACUGUGCACAUACGGGCUGUUUGGCGCUGCAUGGUUAUACAACGAAACCUCGCCUCUUGGUUGGUGGACACUUAAGCCAAGACCCAAGGAAGAGAAGGAAUUGGCACAUCUGUACGAGCGCCGCAAGUUUCCCUAUCCCGGUGACGCGGAGGCAAUGGAGGAGUUUGUUGCAAAGGGUGGGAUGAUUGGUACGACCAUAGGGCCGAAAGAGGUUAUUGAAACAGAUAAAGAUUCGUAUAAUUACCAGAAGCAGUUGCAAGACAAGAAGCUUGAACAAGAAGCUCUUAAGCUAUGGGCGAGGAUGAGAAAUGAAGUUGUUUCAGAGCUUCAGGAGAAAGGGUAUGAUGUUGAGUGAUUGUUGUUGUAAACUAUUAGCAUAAGCAGAAUGUUUUAUGAAUGUUGGUGGCAUGUUUUUGGGGUUUCAAUUAUAGAUGUUCAGUUCUUAUCAAACAUGUGGUUUCACAAAUCAGAGUGUCGUAUGUUUGAUUGCUAGACCCAUGAAUGUAAGAGUGAUGGUUACAAACUGAAACUACAAAGUGGUGCUAUUUUGUAUUUUUAUCUUGAACCUAUGUCUAGGUUAAAGAGUUUUGAUUUUUUGAUAGUCCCUUCUCAUAUUGACAGUCCAGUCCACUUUUAAAGUUAAAAUAUGUUAAUUAGUAGAACAAAGCAAUUGCUUGCAAAUGGUUCGAGUAUAGUCAAACUUUGUUUAUGUUCUAGACGAAUGAGCAGGAAAAGCAGGUCUGGUUGUAUCGGAAGUGGUUAGCAUGAAGUUCAUUUUUGGGUAAGUUGGUCAAUUGGCCAAUAGAGUGCUGACACGCAGGCGAAACUCAAUGUGUGCCAAUAUUCUAUUGGCCAAUUGACCAAUUUACAAAAAAAUAAAUUUCAUGCUAACCGGAUCCGGUUGUACCAUAAUUGACAUAGAUGAUGAAGCUGAAGAGGUCACUUGUUCUAAUGGUUCUCUAAAAAGGCAUAGGGAUGAAUGAUGAUAACCUUACCUUGUGGAGUAUAACUCUAUGUAUGUGACUGCUAGGUACUUUGUUAGGCUAUGAUGAUGCUCUUGGUUAGUACUAUCUUAAACUCCUAUGAUUUGAUCUUGUUUUGUAUAACAAAUAUUGCAUUUGUGAUGGCUUACAAACAGCGGGUUAGAGCUAAAAUGUAACAUUUGUUAUAAAAAAGUAGUAAAAAAUUUAUCAAACAUUAUAGUAGUAUGUGGUGUAACAAUUUACUUAACCAAAUCCUUAUUUUUCUUUUACUGCCACUAUAUCUUCAAUAAAUGAAAUGAACAUCUUAUAUAGAUCAGAUUAUUCUAGAUGUUUAUAAGUAUUACUACCUCGGCUCCAAAAUUAGUAAUAUACAAUUUGACUUUUAAAGUUAAACGACAUAUUAAAUUUCGAAAUUGGUACGACUUGUAUACGUUUAGAAUGUAAUAAAUUUUGUGAUUAAUAACUUUUGUUAUAUAUAUAUACUAUUUAAUUAUAAUAACUGUAUCGACUAAAAUUAAAUAAAUUAACAUUAAUUUUAAAUUUAAUAUGUUGUCGUUUGACCUCAGAAGUCAAAUUUUAUAUCAAAAUUUUGAACGCAGAGAGUAUUAUGUAAGACACAGUCAUAACUAAUCAUUCAGUCGUUGUAGUAUAGUGGUGAGUAUUCCCGCCUGUCACGUGGGUGAACCGGGUUCGAUCCCCGGCAACGGCGUUUGAUUUUUUGGUUUGAUACUCUUUUGUUUUAGAAUCCUGCUAUAUAUUUUGUUUGUUUAAUACUUUUUUCUUUUUCAUUUUUUUAUAUAUAAAAAAUAUCUUUCUAAUAAAAUACAAAUGAUUUUGAAUUUCCCGCUUAAUAAAUUAUUUGGGCCGUCUAAAAUUUGAGAUAAAUCCCACCGUCCAUACAGUGCCGGAGGCACGAGACACAGCUAGUUGUUAUAUAUUACGAAAAAAAACUUAACUAGAUACAAUUAGCCGUUUUAGUUUUAUGCACAUUCAUUAAGAAUAUUACUAUCAUUUAAUAAUUAAAAUUUGUAUGAAAUUCUAUCACUAUCUUCUUAUGGGAAUUAAAAAAAUAUUAAUACAGAGGAAAAAAAAAUUUAGGACAAUGAAAAAAGUUAAGGGUGAUAAAGAAAAGUAAAUAAUUUAUUUUCCUAAAAAAUUAUAAAUAAUAAAUAAAUUAAAACAAAUUUUUUUCUUUUAAAAAGUCAAUUAUUAUUAUAGAAGGGAGGGACUGGCAUGCUACUAGCAUACAAAGAAAGAGUUCAAAACUCGACCUUAGCUCAUAAAAAUGACUAAAGGGUUAAAAAGUACUAUUAAUAUUGUGCGUGCUGCUUCUUCUUCUUACAAAUUUGUACUAGCUCCUCCACCGCCCUACCAAUCUCUUGCUCUCCUUUCACUUUCAUUUUCUCACUCAAUUCCCUUGCUUUCCUCCUCAUAACCUCCCCAUUUUUCUCCAUCACGACUUUUCUUAUUACCUCUGCAAUCGCUUCUCUCUUAUACUUCCCAUUUUCAUCUCUCAUAACCUCCAUGCCCACACCAACCUCCGCCGCCAGCUUAGCAUUCAAAGGCUGAUCAAGAUGCCUGGCCAUGGCAAUUACUGGAACCCCAAACUUCACACUCUCCAUAAUAGAACUCCACCCACAAUGGCUCACAAACCCACCGGUGCUUGAAUGUCCUAAAAUUCUUGCCUGUGGAGCCCACCCCUCCACAACCAAUCCUCUGUCUCCUACCCUUUGAACAAACCCCUCUGGUAAAAUCCCUUUUUUCUCUCCUUCAGGAAAUCUCACAGCCAAUAUGAAACUAACCAUGCUAAUCUCUAGCCCAAUUGCUAAUUCUUCCAAUUCCUCAUUGGAGGGAAAAUACUCACUUCCAAAGCAGACAAACACCACUGUAGAUUCAGCCCUCUUGUCAAGCCAGUUUAUAAGAUGCCCUGUUUUUGGAUCUUCAUCAUGUCCCAUAGGAUCUUGAACGAGUGGACCAACAGGAACCAAAGUUUUCUUAGAUAAAGUGGAAAGAAAAUCAAUAUAUUUCCCUUCCAGUUCUCUAAAACUCUUAAUCAAAAUAAUGUCGCAAGAUCGUUUGAAACAAGCGACAAAAUCAUGAAAUAGCUUCAUUUUAUCUGCAGAAGGUGGUUCAGGGGUAAUAUUACUGUUAUCAUAAAAAUCUGGAAAUGGGUAUUUUUCACCUGAGUUUUUGAAAGCAUGUAGGCCCAUGGAAGAGGUGGCUGCUGCCGAGGUUAGGAAAUAAACUGCCGGAAUAUUGUGAGACGAAGCGAUUUCCGGUGCCCAUGAGGGAUUGAAAUCAUAAAUAAGCAAAUCAGGGUUUAAGGUUUUAAGGAUUUCAGAGAAGGUGGGGGCUGCUGUUUCAAAGGCGUUUCUGAGUGGGACCAUGAGAUGGGAAGGGAGGCCAUUUGUGGUGUGGUAGUGAGGGGGAAGAUCAGGGGAAGAGGGAAGAUGAAGCUCUACUAGUUUUAUAGAAGCAGAGGAAUCCUUAUCAGAUACUCUGUUCUUGAUGGAGCUAAGAUUGAUUGGGGUAGAACAGAGGAAUAUAUUACAAUUUCUUUUUGAGAGAUGCUUGGCUAGCUCAAAGAAUGGAGAAAUGUGGCCAUGGGCUAAAAAUGGCAGCAUAACUAUACUGAUUCUACCUUUUUCGAUAUCCAUGAUGAACUCUGUUUUUCUUACUAAAUAAAUUUCUCUCACCCCUCUCUACUGAUUUCAUUAGCGAAGGUGGGGUGUACUAUAUAUAAAAUAGUUAUAUUACUAUUAUACUCCGUCCGUCCCUUCCUUAUUAUUAUUUUGGGUAAUCUCAUGUUAAAUGUCUAUUUUUUUUAAUAACUAAAUUUUUACACAUUUCUUCCUAUUAUACCCAUAGCAUUAAAUAUUUUAUAUUUUUAUUAUUCUAAUUCUCUCCAUAUUUAUUAAGCAUAAUUAGUUAUGUGCUGAAAAUAUUUUGAAUUGAAAAGUUAGAAAAUUACUCUCUCACCUCCAUUGAAAAUAAUUAAAGACAUAUUAUUAUGAGUAAUUUUAUUAUUUUAUUCCUCUUUUUAAUAUGCGGAUUUUUAUCCUGGACGGAGGGAGUAAUAUACGGCGUGUAAUCAAUCACACGCGUACUGAGUGACGUAUGUAGUUUGUAUCGUUAUUGGGCGAUGAAAUUAAUGACAUUGUUGGCUGCAAAAAGAUGAAUAAGAUAUGUUGAGAUAGAAAAUAGGAAAAAUUAAUAAUAAUUUUUUUAAAACUAUCCCUUAUUAUUCUGUUUAUUUUUUUAAUAUUUUAAACUCUUUCUCUCUUUUUAUCCUAACAAAAGAUUUAAGAGUAUUAUAGACAAUUGAGUAUUAUUAUAUUUAAUAUUUUUUAAUCAUUAUUUUAAUUCUUAUGUCCACUUUUAAAUAGGAAAUAGUAAUUUUCCUAUUAAGAGUACUACUCCAUAAUUUUAUUAUUGUUAUUAAUUAAGCUCAUUAAAUGAUAAUACUUAUUCUUUGCCUUGUGUACUUAUCCUUCUAUGCAGAUAGAGAAUAAUAGGAUCGGUCGGAAUAACAAAAAGCACCAAUAAUUUAUUUAUUCGUUGGAAUAAAAUUCUUUUAUCAAUUUUCUAUUUUUAAUGAUCGUCAUUUUUUAUGCAAAUGUCACUUGUGUUGGCUAACGGACAACUUGCUUAAGCUAAAAUAAGUAAAUAACGAGUGCCGUCCAAAGUUUUGCCUCUUUUUUAAUCAUUUUUUAUUAGUAUUAUUGGAUGCCCAUUUUUUAAAUUUAUUGCUGAUGUUACUACGCAUUUUGAAAAGUUAAAGCAUGCACCUUUUCGCCGAAGGCUUUUAUUUUUUUUUAGAUAUUUUUGCAUUAAAAAAAUAAUAUUUUUAUAUCAAAAUUUAUAACGAUAUUUUUUAUGUAAAAAUAUUACAAAAUAUUAUGAAAAUAUCAAUUUAUUUAAAAAAAUGACAAAAUAUUAAUGGCAAACUGCAAGUAUAAUUUUAUACUAGAUGGUUUAAUAUUACAAUGUAUACAUUUCUAAAUAUUAUAUUGUCCGAUUCUAAAUAAGUGAUACAUUUUAAUUUUUUAGAGUCAAUUUAUAAAAUUUUAAAUUUUAAAAUUAAUAUAAUCUGGUUCAAGUUUUAAAAAUAGUAAAGAUAAUAUUUUAUACUUAUUUUAUAAUUAUUAUUUUUAUUUGUACUAAAACUAAAUCAUUUCAUAUCAAUUUUAAAAUUUUAUAAACCGAUUUUAAAAAAAUCAAAACAUUUCUCUUAUUUUAAAAUGAAUUGAGUAUAAGUUGGUCAAAAGUUGGUUGGUUAUGGGUCAUGUUCACAAGUAUAUAAGAAUAUUACUAUAAACAUGACUUUAAGACUUGGUUGUUACGGAAAAAUGUUGUCCUCUAUCCUCAAAAGACGGUCUUUAAUUUACAAAAUAUUUUAUUUCUAAAAAAUAUAUUUUAAAUAUACAAGUUAAAAAUAAAAUAAUUAUAAGACUAAUUUACCCUAAAAAAUAUAUUAAAAUAAGAUCCACUAAAUUUAAAGAGACAAACAUUUAUUAGUAUAAUAGAAUGGAGUUCACCAUGAACAAGAUUGAUAUUUAUUUUAUACUAAUUCCACUCUUUUAAGUUUCAAUUAUCUAAUACCCCCAUCAAAGAAAUCAAAACAAAAUUGAAAGAGAGGAAAUUAAUGGAGCCCUUUUCAAUGUUUUAAUUCUCGUGUUAUGUUUGGAUUGAAAAAUUAAAAUUAGUAAAAGAAUGGAAUAGAGAAGAUAAUAAAAUGGAAUAGAAAGUGAAAAAAUUUAUUUCAUUUCAGCUAAAAUGAUUCAUUUCAUUUUAAUGAACAACCAAACACGAGUUAUUCUAUUUUCACCUUUAUUUCUCUAAUCUACAAAAGUUUUUUAUUUAUUUAUAAUUAAUAACUUAUGAAAUGACACAAUAUUCUAACUAUAGGUAUCAUAAUUUAUUAUCAAACUAACGAUGUUUUUUUUGUUUGGGCAAAUGAACAGAGAUAAAAUUCAAGUAUAUAACAAGUUAAAGAGGAGAUAAAUUAAUUUGUAAGAAUAAUUUGAUUAUUAAUUUAUAAUUUUUAAAUAUAAUGAGUAUAAUCAUAUAUACAUGCACCCAUUAUUAUUUACCAAAAAACAUUCUCAUUAAUUGAUUAAAUUUUUUUUCACUUUAAAUAUACUCCAAAAGGAAUAUAAGCUAUAUUGGUACAUGAAUAAUACUAGAUCCCUAAAGUAUUAUAUUUUCAUCAACUAAAAACCUAUUUUAGAUUGACAAUAAACUAGAAUUCUGACAUAUAAUUCAAUUACUAUCAUUUAUAAAAAUCACCAAUCAAAUAAUUAUUCUAGAGUCCUAGCUAAAGUAAAUGUACACUACAUUUAAUUAUUUAUCUUAAAAUUCACCGAAAUAAACUUACAAUAUAUAAUUCAAUUAUUCAUCUAACUAGAUAAAAAUUUAAUAAAUCAAUAUUAUUUUCUCAAAAUUCUAAUAUAUCAUAUUUAUACUAAGAAUAAAGAAACUUUUACACAUCCGGUCGAAGUUCACACAAUUUAAAUAGAAUAUAUAUAUAUAUAUAUAUAUAUAUAUAUAUAUUCAAUAACAAUAACAACAACAACAAUAAUAAUAAUAAUAAUAAUUUUAAAAAAAAACUAACAAUUGAAUUAAUUAAAUGGAACAUUAAAUUAGUAAAUAAUUGUGAAAAACAAUGAACCUAAAUUGAAAUGAAUUACAAUCGCCAAAAAAAAGAGAAAAAAGAAAGAUAACUUUUUUUUUUAUUAUUAUAUUCAACUGAAAUUUAUUAUUUCUGUCUUUUGACAAAAAUAGAUCCCAAACCUCAUGCACUCAAGCCUAAUCAAUAAAUUUUUUAACCAUUGAACCAUGGUAUGAAAGAUAACUCGUGACUCACACAGGUUCCAAGCUUGUAUAUGUUAAACUUCAUGUGACUGAAAAAACUAAUCAACUGCAAUCAUAACUAGGAGUCGUUUCAGGGUGUUGGAGUGUGGUUUGAUGGGUUCGGGGGAAUGGAAGGGUCACAGUUGAUCUAUAAAUCCCUUGUUUUAAUUAGCUUAAUUCUUCUUUUUGAAGAAGUCAAAUCUGGACUUACAAUUAUAAGGACCAUCAACAUAGGAUUGUUCAUUGUGCAUGUUUAAGUUCAUUAAUUGGUGAUUUAAUAAGCGGAUAAAUUUCGACGUUAACACAAGAUAUGAAAUUCAAUGAGACGAGAGAAGGCUUUCCUCCCAUACGUGGACCUACUUGAGAUGAGCAGAAUAUGUCUGAGCAACUUUGUCAGAUCAGGAAUCUGUUAAAUUUUGCCUCGGUUAGGCUAGCUGUAAGACAGACAUCAUCACAGAGAGGUUAAAGAGUAGCUAGCUGAGAAAAAAUCUGUUCUUUCACGUACAAUAUACUUGGCAAGACAUUGUAGACUUUUAGCAGAGCUUAAUUUAGUUUUAUUACAUACCAAACCAAUGAAAAUCAACCAUUCCUUGGUUUAGUACAAAAACCACUUGAAUUAUAGCAUACAAAGAAAGAGUUCAAAACCCAACCUAAGCGCAUUCAAAAUUAGUACUACUACUAUUACUAUUGUGCAUCUUUCUUCUUCUUACAAAUUUGUACUAGCUCCUCCACUGCCCUAUCAAUCUCUUCCUCUCCUUUCUCUUUCAUUUUCUCACUCAAUUCCCUUGCUUUCCUCCUCAUAACCUCCCCACUUUUCUCCACAACGACUUUUCUUAUUACCUCUGCAAUCCCUUCUCUCUUAUACUUCCCAUUUUCAUCUCUCACAACCUCCAUGCCCACACCAACCUCCGCCGCCAGCUUACCAUUCAAAGGCUGAUCAAGAUGCCUGGCCAUGGCAAUUACUGGAACCCCAAACUUCAUACUCUCCGCAAUAGAACUCCACCCACAAUGGCUCACAAACCCACCGGUGCUUGAAUGUCCUAAAAUUCUUGCCUGUGGAGCCCACCCCUCCACAACCAAUCCUCUGUCUCCUACCCUUUGAACAAAUCCCUCUGGUAAAACCCCUUUUUUCUCUCCUUCAAUUAAUCUCACAGCCCAUAUGAAAUUAACCAUGCUAAUCUCUAGCCCAAUUGCUACUUCUUCCAAUUCCUCAUUGGAGAGAAAAUACUCACUUCCAAAGCAGACAAACACCACUGUAGAUUCAGCCCUUUUGUCAAGCCAGUUUAUAAUCUGCUCUGUUUUUGGAUCUUCAUUAUGGCCCAUAGGAUCUUGAACGAGUGGACCAACAGGAACCAAAGUUUUAUCAGAUAAAGUGGAAAGCAAAUCGAUAUAUUUCCCUUCUAGUUCUAUAAAACUCUUAAUCAAAAUAAUGUCGCAAGAUCGUUCGAAACAAGCGAUAAAAUCAUGAAGUAGCUUCAUGUUAUCUGCAGAAGGUGGUUCAGGGGUAUUAUUACUGUUAUCAUAAAAAUCUGGAAAUGGGUAUUUUUCACCUGGGUUUUUGAAAGCAUGUAGGCCAAUGGAAGAGCUGGCUGCUGCCGUGGUUAGGAAAUAAACUGCCGGAAUAUUGUGAGACGAAGCGAUCUCCGGUGCCCAUGAGGGAUUGAAAUCAUAAAUAAGCAAAUCGGGGUUUAAGGUUUUAAGGAUUUCAGAGAAGGUGGGGCCUGCUGUUUCAAAGGCGUUUAUGAGUGGGACCAUGAGAUGGGAAGGGAGGCCAUUUGUGGUGUGAUAGUGAGGAGGAAGAUCAGGGGAAGAUGGAAGAUGAAGCUCAACUAGUUUUAUAGAAGCAGAGGAAUCCUUAUUCUUGAUGGAGCUAAGAUUGAUUGGGGUAGAACAGAGGAAAACAUUGCAAUUUCUUUUUGCGAGUUGUUUGGCUAGCUCAAAGAAGGGAGAUAUGUGACCAUGGGCUAAAAAUGGUAGCAACGCUAUACUGAUUCUACCUUCUUGGUUAUCCAUGAAUGAACUCUGUUUGUUUCUCUCUCUCUUGCUGUAUAAUUUCAUUAGCCAAGGGUGUGUAUAUAAAUAAAAGAGUAAAAUAUAUUGACACCCCCCGUACAUAAUUAUAAUAACACUCACCAUUUUUUUAGUUUUUCAAGUAACAGUCAGUACCCCUCUAAUCUACAAUAUGUAACAUUCACCGCCUCUAGUAUGGUUGACCAACUAAUAUUUAAAAAUAUUUUUAAUAUAAUGUCUAAUACACCCUUCAAGUUAUAAUGUUUAAUUUCUCCACUAAAUAUAAAUUUGUAUAUCAUAAUUUUUAUUUUACUUGAUCUAAUUAAUUAAAUUAUGAAAUUGUGUAAUAAAUAACAUAAAAGUCAAAAAAUAAUAAAUAUUCAUUUUAUCAGGAAAAUAAAGUCAUGCAAUUUUUAUUAAUUAAAUUUCUCAAAUAUUAAAAUUUAUGUGAUAUAUAUUCAAAUAAUUUUUUUUAAUUAAAAAGUAUAAUAUUAAUACCCAUGAAAAUUACAAAUUAACGCAAUAAAAUUAUUAUUAUUAUUUUCAAAUAUUAAAAUUUACGUAAAACAAACUUAUUAUUACAAUUUAAACGAAUCUUAUUACUCAUAUAAAAAAGUAUUAAAAAUUAUAUUAAUUAUUUUUCUCAUAUAUUAAACUAAACAUAAGUCACACUUAAACAUAAUUAUUUACAGUAAAAAUGACAAAUGUUGUUACUUAAAAAAGAAAAGAAAAAAUAUAUGAAAAGAAUUUUUUUUUAAAAAGAUAGAGGUAGUAAUAAUAUAAUUAUAUUUUUUUAUUUAAUAUUACAUAAAAACAGCGUCAACUGUAUACUAAAAAAAUAUAAUCAAAAUCAUAAACAUCCCAAUUUUUUAUAUAUACUCAAUAAAAAUUAUAAUAUGAAAUAAAAUUCAAAUAAUAUUUUUUGUUGUUAAGUACCAAAAAUUAAACUAUCAAUAUACUCAAUCACUCUAAUUAGAAUAGCUUCAUUAAUAAUUUAAUUUUUUUAAAUAUUUAUAUCACUUAUCCAAAAAUAUGUGUUAGUUAAAGUAAAUUAAUUUUUUAUAAGUUACCAACAAUUUAAAUGAGAUAGUUUUAAUUAUAAAUAAAAUUAUAAUUAAAAUGUCUUGUAUUAAAAAAAAGGAUAAUUAAAUAUAUAUAUAUAUAUAUUAUUUAGUAAUUAAAAUUUGAUAAAAUACAAGGGUAAAUAUGUAAUUUUAUCUAUUUAGUCAAUCCUAAAAACUUGCAGAGGUACUAACUGUUAUUUAAAAAAUUAGAGGAGAGGUGAAUGUUAUUAUGAUUAUCUAGAGGGGAUGUCACUGUAUUUUAUUCUAAAUAAAAUAAGUGGACAAGGGGUAGCGCCGCCCAAGAAGACGAGAUUGAGAUUGGGAUUGGGAAUUGGAAAGAGUGGCCUAUAACUCUUGAUCCCAACACGUGUUAAACGUGAUUGGGAAAGACAGGCAUAUAAGUCUUGUUGUCCCAAUUGUGUGUUGAUCUUAAAACUUAAAACUUCGCGUGGCUGAAAUAAAUAAGCCACUGCAAUCAAAAAUCAAAACUAUGAUUCUAUUAUAAAGUCACGCCAUUUUAUUAAUUUUUUUUAUAAAUAUAUUAUUGAAUUUAUUAAGUAAAAUAAUUUUAAUAAGAAUAUAUUUUCUUUCAAAAAUUAUAAGUAUUAUUUAACUUAUAAUAAAAUUUUAUUUAUACUUAAACUUAAUUAAUUACAUUUGUAUUUUAAUUAAGGGUAAAAGUUCAAAUUAGGUAAUACUAUAUAUGUGGAAGAAAAAAAAUUGUCAAACUAUAUUAUCUAGGCUAUAAUAAAAUUUUAUUUAUUAAUGGUAAUAAUUAAUUUUCCAGAUAUAUGACCCAAAAAUGUAGCAAACUGCCACUGCCUAACCAUUAGAGGUCAUUCUCACCAAGGCACGACUCUAGAAGUUCGAAAUUCCAUAGACAAUCUAAACCACAAUUAUGCAUUGUAAAUAUCACAUAUUAAGCAUAAUUAAAAAUGGGAAAUAAAGUAAUUAAGUUGGAAGAUUCUGAACGGUCCUUGUUCUUUAUCAAUUAAAAGAUUUAAAAUGUUCUGUUUGAGUAUAUAGAUAUCCUGAAUUUUUAAUAUUUUUUCAUUUUAGGAUUGUCUUUUCAAUUUUUUCUAUUACAAGAUUAAAUUUUUAAUUUUUUUUUAUUACGUCUAAUUGAUAAUAUCAUGUCAGAAAAUUAAUGACAUAGUAGCGACACAUAACUAAAAAAAUACUUAUAUAUAUUAUUGAGUCUCAUUUUAAUAUUUAUUCAAAAAAAAAAAUAAAGGUGUAAAUUCGCAGUACCGUAAAUACCAUUUACUUAAAAUGAUGGAACCAAGUUGUUUAAAUUUUUACAUCAUUUAAAAAAAUAUCAUUGACCCUUGUUAUCCAUUUUCCAUCAUAACAUGGAAUCUCUCAUACAUGAUAUAACAAUUCUUAAUCACUUAUUUUUAAAUACAUUCAGAUCUAAUUUUCAUAUUUGUAUAAAAAAAUCUCCUUCAAUUUAAUUCAGCUCUCUACAUACUGCGCGUUAACUAUAAUUAAGACCUUUCAAAUUACUUUUAGAAGGUAAAAUAUCUAUAAAUAAAAUUAAAUACUCCACUACUUGUCUUAUUAUUGGGACGGUCUCAUCGUGAUUAGUGCCAAUUAUAUAUUACUAUUUUCGUUCUUAAGAGAUUGUCAUUUAAGAUUUUUACAUAUGAAUUAAAAAAUUACUGUAUAAUUUAUCAAGUAAAAUUUAUUUGAAAUUCCAUCACUACCUCUUUAUGGGAAAUUAAAAACUAUUAAUACAAAGAAGAGAAUUUUUUCGGACAAUGAGAGAAAGUAGAGAUAAUAUAGAAAAGUAAAUAAUUUAUUCUUCUCAAAAGUUAUAAACGACAAAUAUUUUAAAAUAUAUUUUUUUUAAAACGAUAAUCUUUUAACAACGGGAGGAGUAAUAUAAUUGGCAAGACAUUGUAGGCUUUUAGCAGCUUAAUUUAGUUUUAUUACAUACCAAACCAAUGAAAAUCAACCAUUCCUUGAUUUUCUUCACAACACAAAGUCCAAGUACACAAACCACUUUAAUUAUAGCAUACAAAGAAAGAGUUCAAAGCCCAACCUAAGCGCAUUCAAAAUGAUUUUAAAGGGAAAAAAAUUAGUCUAUUACUACUAUUGUUCAUCUUUCUUCUUCUUACAAAUUUGUACUAGCUCCUCCACUGCCCUAUCAAUCAAUUGCUCUCCUAUCUCUUUCAUUUUCUCACUCAAUUCCCUUGCUUUCCUCCUGAUAACCUCCCCACUUUUCUCCACCACGACUUUUCUUAUUACCCCUGCAAUAUCUUCUCUCUUAUACUUCCCAUUUUCAUCUCUCACAACCUCCAUGCCCACACCAACCUCCGCCGCCAGCUUAGCAUUCAAAGGCUGAUCAAAAUGCCUGGCCAUGGCAAUUACUGGAACCCCAAACUUCAUACUCUCCGUAAUAGAACUCCACCCACAAUGGCUCACAAACCCACCGGUGCUUGAAUGUCCUAAAAUUCUUGCCUGUGGAGCCUACCCCUCCACAACCAAUCCUCUGUCUCCUACCCUUUGAACAAACCCCUCUGGUAAAACCCCUUUUUUCUCUCCUUCAAUUAAUCUCACAGCCCAUAUGAAAUUAACCAUGCUAAUCUCUAGCCCAAUUGCUACUUCUUCCAAUUCCUCAUUGGAGAGAAAAUACUCACUUCCAAAGCAGACAAACACCACUGUAGAUUCAGCCCUUUUGUCAAGCCAGUUUAUAAACUGCUCUGUUUUUGGAUCUUCAUUAUGGCCCAUAGGAUCUUGAACGAGUGGACCAACAGGAACCAAAGUUUUAUCAGAUAAAGUAGAAUAAAAAUCAAAAUAUUUCCCUUCUAGUUCUCUAAAACUCUUAAUCAAAAUAAUGUCGCAAGAUCGUUCGAAACAAGUCAUAAAAUCAAGUAAUAACUUCAUGUUAUCUGCUGAAGGUGGUUCAGGGGUAAUAUUACUGUUAUCAUCAAAAUCUAGAAAUGGGUAUUUUUCACCUGGGUUUUUGAAACUAUGUAGGCUCAUGGAAAAGGAGGCUGCUCCCCCAAUUAUGAAACAAACUGCCGGAAUAUUGUGAGACGAAGCGAUCUCCGGUGCCCAUGAGGGAUUGAAAUCAUAAAUAAGCAAAUCAGGGUUUAAGGUUUUAAGGAUUUCAGAGAAGGUGGGGCCUGCUGUAUCAAAGGCGUUUCUGAGUGGGAUCAUGAGAUGGGAAGGGAGGCCAUUUGUGGUGUGGUAGUGAGGAGGAAGAUCAGGGGAAGAUGGAAGAUGAAGCUCUACUAGUUUUAUAGAAGCAGAGGAAUCCUUAUCAGAUAUUCUGUUCUUGAUG